GCUAAGGUAGCUAAGUCGGUAGAACGUGAGACUCUUAAUUACAGGGUUGUGGGUUCGAGUCCCACGUUAGGCA